rnacentral:rRNA from 1 species
AAAGGCCGGCGAUACAGGGUGACAGCCCCGUACACGAAGGCACACAGGUUGUGAGCUCGAUGAGUAGGGCGGGACACGUGAUAUCCUGUCUGAAGAUGGGGGGACCAUCCUCCAAGGCUAAAUACUCCUGACUGACCGAUAGUGAACCAGUACCGUGAGGGAAAGGCGAAAAGAACCCCGGCGAGGGGAGUGAAACAGAACCUGAAACCGUGUACGUACAAGCAGUGGGAGCCUUCGUAAGAGGGUGACUGCGUACCUUUUGUAUAAUGGGUCAGCGACUUAUAUUCUGUAGCAAGGUUAACCGUAUAGGGGAGCC